GUGUUAUCAUCUCAGCAACACAUACAUAAAAAGGUGGGAUGACACAGAGAUUAGCGUGGCCCCUGUGCAAUGAUGGUAUGCACACUCAUGAGGGGUUCUGUAUAUGU
rnacentral:snRNA from 1 species